CAGAUGAGUCUGCGUCUCAUUAGCUAGUUGGCGGGGUAAGAGCCCACCAAGGCAACGAUCAGUAGCCGACCUGAGAGGGUGAUCGGCCACACUGGGACUGAGACACGGCCCAGACUCCUACGGGAGGCAGCAGUGGGGAAUAUUGGGCAAUGGGGGAAACCCUGACCCAGCAACGCCGCGUGAGGGAAGAAGGUCUUCGGAUCGUAAACCUCUGUCCUUAGUGAAGAGAAGAAGACGGUAGCUAAGGAGGAAGCCCCGGCUAACUACGUGCCAGCAGCCGCGGUAAUACGUAGGGGGCGAGCGUUGUCCGGAAUGAUUGGGCGUAAAGGGCGCGUAGGCGGCCUGUUAAGUCUGGAGUGAAAGUCCCGCUUUUAAGGUGGGAAUUGCUUUGGAAACUGGCGGGCUGGAGUGCAGGAGAGGUUAGUGGAAUUCCCGGUGUAGCGGUGAAAUGCGUAGAGAUCGGGAGGAACACCAGUGGCGAAGGCGGUUGCCUGGCCUGUAACUGACGCUGAGGCACGAAAGCGUGGGGAGCAAAUAGGAUUAGAUACCCUGGUAGUCCACGCUGUAAACUAUGAUUACUAGUUGUUGGCGAUACAUUCCCUUCAGUGCCGCAGUUAACGCAUUAAGUAAUCCACCUGGGGAGUACGUUCGCAAGAAUGAAACUCAAAGGAAUUGACGGGGGCCCGCACAAGCGGAGGAGCAUGUGGUUUAAUUCGAUGAUACGCGAGGAACCUUACCUGGGCUCGAACGUAGGGAAUUAUGCCGAAAGGUAUAAGCCAGCAAUGGCCGUAUACGAGGUGCUGCAUGGUUGUCGUCAGCUCGUGCCGUGAGGUGUUAGGUUAAGUCCUGCAACGAGCGCAACCCUUACCUUUAGUUGCCAGCAUGUAAUGAUGGGGACUCUAAAGGAACUGCCUACGCAAGUAGUGAGGAAGGUGGGGAUGACGUCAAAUCAGCACGGCCCUUAUGUCCAGGGCGACACACGUGCUACAAUGGCCGAUACAAAGGGAAGCUACCCAGCGAUUGGAUGCGAAUCUUUAAAAUCGGUCUCAGUUCGGAUCGGAGUCUGCAACUCGACUCCGUGAAGUCGGAUUCGCUAGUAAUCGCGCAUCAGCCAUGGCGCGGUGAAUACGUUCUCGGGUCUUGCACACACCGCCCGUCA
rnacentral:rRNA from 1 species